GACGAACGCUGGCGGCGUGCCUAAUACAUGCAAGUAGAACGCUGAAGGAGGAGCUUGCUCUUCUGGAUGAGUUGCGAACGGGUGAGUAACGCGUAGGUAACCUGCCUGGUAGCGGGGGAUAACUAUUGGAAACGAUAGCUAAUACCGCAUAACAUUGACUAUUGCAUGAUAGUCAAUUAAAAGGUGCAAAUGCACCACUACCAGAUGGACCUGCGUUGUAUUAGCUAGUUGGUGGGGUAACGGCUCACCAAGGCGACGAUACAUAGCCGACCUGAGAGGGUGAUCGGCCACACUGGGACUGAGACACGGCCCAGACUCCUACGGGAGGCAGCAGUAGGGAAUCUUCGGCAAUGGACGGAAGUCUGACCGAGCAACGCCGCGGGAGUGAAGAAGGUUGUCGGAUCGUAAAGCUCUGUUGUAAGAGAAGAACGAGUGUGAGAGUGGAAAGUUCACACUGUGACGGUAUCUUACCAGAAAGGGACGGCUAACUACGUG
rnacentral:rRNA from 1 species